CUCACUCUCACUCUCCUCCCAGCCAUUCCCCAGGCACACCCGGUCUACACCACCUUCCACAGACGGAAAACGAGGCUAAUCCCGAAGGACACAAGAGGAAGGGCAGACCUACCCGGGCUGCGCUGAUCUUUGCAUUCAAGCAUUCAUCCGCAACACAGGACAAAAGACAUCGCCUGCCUGGAAAGGCGAAGUCGCCCCGCCAGAAGUCCGAAGCUGCAGUGAGCUCUAGCCAGAACCUGCGCAGGCUGUCAUCCUUCCACCCCGUAAGGAGAAACGGAGGCCAACCCUCAGCUCCUGUCCUGUUUCAGCAUCAAUUCCCAAAAGGAGCCAUUUCUUUCUUCAGGAUGAGGCUUCUGCAGAACUGUUCAGGUAACAAGUGAAACCUAAUCUUGUGUGCUAUCUCAAAGACCGUGCAACCUUAUUCAGGGUUUUAUGCGACAGCUGUUGGCAU
rnacentral:lncRNA from 1 species